ensembl:lncRNA
ACAAUCUGGUGCGUAUCCGGGAGAGAGACGAGUGGAAGACGGCGUUUAGUACCACCUCAGGGCAUUAUGAGUACCUCAUGCCGUACGUGUUGAUGAAUUCUUCUAUCAGUCUUCCAAUCCUUUGUAGACAAGAUUUUCAGGGACCUGCACGGGCAGGGUGUAGUGGUGUAUAUCGAUGACAUUCUGAUAUACUCCGCUACACUCACCGAGCAUGUGUCCUUGGUGUGCAAAGUACUUGGACGACUGUUGGAGCGUGACCUGUACGUCAAGGCUGAGAAAUGCCUGUUCUUUCAACAGACUGUCUCCUUACUAGGGUAUCGCAUUUCCACAUCGGGUGGAGAUGGAGAGUGACCGCAUUGCAGCCAAUAGUAAUUGGCUGACUCCCACGACGGUAAAGGAGGUGCAGCGAUUUUAUUGGUUUGUAAUUACUACCGGAGAUUUAUCCGGGGUUUUGGCCAGGUGGCUGCUCCCAUUACCCCACCGCUGAAGGGGGGUCCUGUAUGUCUGCAGUGAUCGGUUGAAGUGGACAUGGCUUUUGGGCACCGCACAGGGCUCCCGUGCUGGCCCAUCCUCAUCCCUCUUUGGCAUUCAUAGUUGGUUGGACGCGUCCAAGGCUGGGAUCGGAGCUGUGCUCUCUCAGCGCUCGGGCACGCCACCGAAUCUCCGCCCCUGUGCUUUCUUCUUGAAGAGGCUCAGCAGAACUGAUGUGGGGGACUGGGAGCUGUUGGCUGUGGUUAAGGCUUUGAAGGCGUGGAGACAUUGGCUUCAGGGGUUUAACACACUUUCGUCAUCUGGACUGACCACCGCAACCUGGAGUACAUCCGGGCAGCUAGGAGACUGAAUCCUCGUCAGGCAAGGUGGGCCAUGUUCUUUACCUGUUUUGUGUUUACCCUGUCCUACAGACCAGGUUCCCAGAAUGUGAAGGCAGACGCACUGUCCCGGCUGUAUGACACAGAGGAGCGGCCCAUGGAUCAGACUCCCAUUCUCCCGGCCUCCUGCCUGGUAGUGCCGGUCUUGUGGGAGCUGGACGCGGACAUUGAGCAGGCAUUGCAUACAGAGCCCGCUCCAGUGUCCCGUCGGGCGUCAGUACGUUCCGUCUGCUGUCCAUGACCAGUUGAUCUAUUGGGCCCGCACAUCACCCUGCUCUGGUCAUCCGGGGAUCGGUCAGACGGUGCGCUGUCUGACUGGGAUGUACUGGUGGCCCACCUUGGCUCAGGACGUGAGGGUUUAUGUUUCCUCCUGCUCGGUGUGUGCUCAGUGUAAGGAUCCUAGACACCUGCCCAGAGGGAAACACCACAAUCCUGGUUGUUGUGGAUCGUUUUUCCUGUCAUCUCCUCCCUCUGCCCGUUCUCCCUACGGCCCUAUAAACUGCGGAGGCCCUGUUUACACACAUCUUCCGGCACUACGGGGUGCCUGAGGAUAUAGUGUCUGAUUGAGGUCCUCAGUUCACUUCGAGAGUCUGGAGGACGUUCAUGGAACAUUUGGGGGUCUCGAUCUCGAAUGGGCAGGUGGAGAGUGAACCAGGAUGUGGGCAGGUUUCGUGGAUGUGGGCGGUGUUCGUGCCCUGGGCAGAGAUGAAGCAGAACUCGCUCCACCACUCCUCCACUAACCUCUCCCCCUUUCAGUGUGUAUUGGGGUACCAUCAGAGUCAGAUGGCGGUGGACGGGGGGGUGGUACGGGGGGGUGGUACUGUCACGACUUCCGCCGAAGUCGGCUCCUCUCCUUGUUCGGGCGGCGUUCAGCAGUCGACGUCACCUGCUUUCUAGCCAUAGCCGCUCCAUUUUUCAUGUAUCCAUUUGUUUUGUCUUGUUCCCUGCACACCUGGUUUUCAUUCCCCAAUCAAUCUACAUGUAUUUAUUCCUCUUUUCCCCAUCAUGUCUCUGUUCCCCAUCAUGCCAGACUGGCUUGUUUUUUCUGUGUUACUUUUCACCAAGAUGUUCAUUAUUAAACAUUAUCCUUGUGACUGUUGUGCACGUUUUGCACUUUUGCCUAAAUAAAGUGUGCGCCUGUUCAC